UACGAAGGGGGCUAGCGUUGCUCGGAAUCACUGGGCGUAAAGGGUGCGUAGGCGGCGCGGUAAGUCGGGUGUGAAAUCUCGGAGCUUAACUCCGAAACUGCAUUCGAUACUGCCGUGCUUGAGGACUGGAGAGGAGACUGGAAUUUACGGUGUAGCGGUGAAAUGCGUAGAUAUUCGGAAGAACACCAGUGGCGAAGGCGGCUCACUGGCCCGGUACUGACGCUGAGGUGCGAAAGCGUGGGGAGCAAACAGGG
rnacentral:rRNA from 1 species